CACGUAGGGCGCAAGCGUUGUCCGGAAUUAUUGGGCGUAAAGAGCUCGUAGGCGGUCCGUCACGUCCGCUGUGAAAACCCAGGGCUCAACCCCGAGCCUGCAGUGGAUACGGGCAGACUAGAGGUAGGUAGGGGAGAAUGGAAUUCCCGGUGUAGCGGUGAAAUGCGCAGAUAUCGGGAGGAACACCGGUGGCGAAGGCGGUUCUCUGGGCCUUACCUGACGCUGAGGAGCGAAAGCGUGGGGAGCGAACAGG
rnacentral:rRNA from 1 species